UACGAAGGGUGCAAGCGUUACUCGGAAUUACUGGGCGUAAAGCGUGCGUAGGUGGUUCGUUAAGUCUGCCGUGAAAGCCCCGGGCUCAACCUGGGAAUGGCGGUGGAUACUGGCGGACUAGAGUGCGGUAGAGGGUGGUGGAAUUCCCGGUGUAGCAGUGAAAUGCGUAGAGAUCGGGAGGAACAUCUGUGGCGAAGGCGGCCACCUGGACCAGCACUGACACUGAGGCACGAGAGCGUGGGGAGCAAACAGG
rnacentral:rRNA from 1 species